CAGCCGCCGCGGUAAUACGUAGGUGGCAAGCGUUGUCCGGAAUUAUUGGGCGUAAAGGGCUCGCAGGCGGUUUCUUAAGUCUGAUGUGAAAGCCCCCGGCUCAACCGGGGAGGGUCAUUGGAAACUGGGAAACUUGAGUGCAGAAGAGGAGAGUGGAAUUCCACGUGUAGCGGUGAAAUGCGUAGAGAUGUGGAGGAACACCAGUGGCUAAGGCGACUCUCUGGUCCGGAACUGACGCUGAGGCACGACAGCGUGGGGAGCAAACAGGAUUAGAUACCCCAGUAGUCCCUGUCUCUUAUAC
rnacentral:rRNA from 1 species